rnacentral:rRNA from 1 species
ACUCGAGUAGGGCGGGACACGUGAAAUCCUGACUGAACAUGGGGGGACCAUCCUCCAAGCCUAAGUACUCCUACAUGACCGAUAGUGAACCAGUACCGUGAGGGAAAGGUGAAAAGCACCCCGACGAGGGGAGUGAAACAGUACCUGAAACCGGACGCCUACAAGCAGUCGGAGGGGCCUUGAGCCCUGACGGCGUACCUUUUGUAUAAUGGGUCAUCGACUUGGUCUCACGAGCAAGCUUAAGCCGUUAGGUGUAGGCGCAGCGAAAGCGAGUCUUAAUAGGGCGAAUGAGUUUGUGGGAUCAGACCCGAAACCGAGUGAUCUAGCCAUGGCCAGGAUGAAGAUAAGGUAACACUUAUUGGAGGUCCGAACCCACACCUGUUGAAAAAGGUCGGGAUGAGUUGUGCCUAGGGGUGAAAGGCCAAUCAAACUCGGAGAUAGCUGGU